AGGGCGUUUGGUGAAUGCCUUGGCAGUAAGAGGCGAUGAAAGACGUGAUACUCUGCGAUAAGCCAUGGGGAGCUGAGAAUAAGCUUUGAUCCAUGGAUUUCUGAAUGGGGCAACCCACCUGAUACUUUGUUAUUACUGCACUUCGGUGCAGCUAAUAACUUGGUAAACCAGGUAUUUUUAGGCUGAAUAUAUAGGCUUAAAAAGGCAAACCCGGGGAACUGAAACAUCUAAGUACCCGGAGGAAAGGAAAUCAAUAUGAUACUCCCCUAGUAGCGGCGAGCGAACGGGGACCAGCCGAGCCAUGAGUGUGGUUAGAAUGCGUUGGAAUGCGCAACCAAAGUGGGUGAUAGUCCCGUAUAAGAAGCAUGAUUGGACGUAUUAAGUAGGGCGGAACACGUGAAAUUCUGUCUGAAGAUCGGAGGACCACCUUCGAAGGCUAAGUACUCCUUACUGACCGAUAGUGAACCAGUACCGUGAGGGAAAGGUGAAAAGCACCCCGACGAGGGGAGUGAAACAGUACCUGAAACCGAACGCCUACAAACAGUUGGAGGGACCUUGCGUCCUGACAGCGUACCUUUUGUAUAAUGGGUCAUCGACUUGGUCUCACGAGCAAGCUUAAGCCGUUAGGUGUAGGCGUAGCGAAAGCGAGUCUUAAUAGGGCGUUGAGUUCGUGGGAUCAGACCCGAAACCGAGUGAUCUAGGCAUGGCCAGGUUGAAGAUAAGGUAACACUUAUUGGAGGACCGAACCCACAUCUGUUGAAAAAGAUCGGGAUGAGCUGUGCCUAGGGGUGAAAGGCCAAUCAAACUCGGAGAUAGCUGGUUCUCUGCGAAAUCUAUUUAGGUAGAGCGUCGACCGAAUACCCUCGGGGGUAGAGCACUGGAUGGGUAAUGGGGCCCCACAGGCUUACUGAUCCUAACCAAACUCCGAAUACCGAGGAGUACUAGUCGGCAGACACACGGCGAAUGCUAACGUCCGUCGUGCUAAGGCCCCUAAUUCAUGGCUAAGUGGGAAAGCAGGUGAGACGACCAAAACAACCAGGAGGUUGGCUUAGAAGCAGCCAUCCUUUAAAGAUAGCGUAACAGCUCACUGGUCUAAAUAAGUUGUCUUGCGGCGAAGAUGUAACGGGGCUCAAGCCAUGAGCCGAAGCUGAGGAUGCAUUUAUUGCAUGGUAGCAGAGCGUAGUGUGACAUAGUUCCAUGUGUCCUUAUCGUCCCUCGGGACGGGUUGGACACAAGGAGCUUUCUGUGAAGCUGGCGCGUGAGCGAUCCGGUGGAGAGAUCACUAGUGAGAAUGAUGACAUGAGUAGCGACAAAGAGUGUGAGAGACACUCUCGCUUAAAGCUAAUCUGAGCAGGGUAAGCCGACCCCUAAGGCGAGGCCGAAAGGCGUAGUCGAUGGGAACCAGGUUAAUAUUCCUGGGCCAGAUGGAAGUGACGGAUCUCGAGGGUAGUUCAUCCUUAUCGGAUUGAAUGGGCUGCUUAGAGGUCCCUGGAAAUAGCUCCAUCGCUAGAUCGUACCCUAAACCGACACAGGUGGACAGGUAGAGAAUACCAAGGCGCUUGAGAGAACUAUGUUGAAGGAACUCGGCAAAAUACCUCCGUAAGUUCGCGAGAAGGAGGCCCGGUUCCUAGGCAACUAGGGGCUGGGGGCACAAACCAGGGGGUGGCGACUGUUUAUUAAAAACACAGGGCUCUGCGAAGUCGCAAGACGACGUAUAGGGUCUGACGCCUGCCCGGUGCCUGAAGGUUAAAAGGAGGGGUGAGAGCUAACUAUAACGGUCCUAAGGUAGCGAAAUUCCUUGUCGGGUAAGUUCCGACCUGCACGAAUGGCGUAACGACUUCCCCGCUGUCUCCAACAUAGACUCAGCGAAAUUGAAUUACCGGUCAAGAUGCCGGUUACCCGCGGUUAGACGGAAAGACCCCGUGCACCUUUACUACAGCUUCACACUGGCAUUAGGCCGAACAUGUGCAGGAUAGGUGGUGGGCUUUGAAACCGAGACGCCAGUCUCGGUGGAGCCUCCCUUGAGAUACCACCCUUGUUCUGCUUGAUGUCUAACCGCGGACCGUUAUCCGGUUCCGGGACCCUGUGUGGCGGGUAGUUUGACUGGGGCGGUCGCCUCCUAAAUCGUAACGGAGGCGCGCGAAGGUUGGCUCAGAGCGGUCGGAAAUCGCUCGUUGAGUGCAAUGGCAGAAGCCAGCCUGACUGCGAGACUGACAAGUCGAGCAGAGUCGAAAGACGGCCAUAGUGAUCCGGUGGUCCCAAGUGGGAGGGCCAUCGCUCAACGGAUAAAAGGUACGCCGGGGAUAACAGGCUGAUACUGCCCAAGAGUCCAUAUCGACGGCAGUGUUUGGCACCUCGAUGUCGGCUCAUCUCAUCCUGGGGCUGGAGCAGGUCCCAAGGGUACGGCUGUUCGCCGUUUAAAGAGGUACGUGAGCUGGGUUUAGAACGUCGUGAGACAGUUCGGUCCCUAUCUUCCGUGGGUGUAGGAUACUUGAGAGGAGUUGCCCCUAGUACGAGAGGACCGGGGUGAACGAUCCACUGGUGGACCAGUUGUUAUGCCAAUAGCAGUGCUGGGUAGCUAUGAUCGGACAGGAUAACCGCUGAAGGCAUCUAAGCGGGAAGCCCCCCUCAAAACAAGGUAU
rnacentral:rRNA from 1 species